AGAGGAAAUAAGUAUGGUGGCUGAGUUUUAACACAGGAUAAGUCUAAAGUGUCUGUUAGUGGAUUACUGAGAACAACUGAUUAUGUUAAUGUUAUUAACUCUAUGUAGAGUAUUAGGACUAUUUAGCAUUAAGUGUGUUUCAAAGACAAGGCCCUGAGGAACCUGUAGCUUUGAAGUUGGACCUGCUCUGAGAGGAGAGUUGAACCAGGUGAUUUUCUUAAUGAUUAAUGCUCUAAAUUUUGAUUUAAUGAUUUUAAAUUAUUUUAUUGCUCUAAAGCAUUAGUAAAACUAGGCUGCUUUUAUUAAAAUAUUUGCCCUAUUAGUGUCUGACAAUAUUGUCUAAUGAUAGAGACAGUGCAGGUGUGAUGGUAAGUUACAAAAAGUUAUCAUCAAUAAAGUAUAAAAACCAAAACCAAUGGCUGUAUUUUAUAAAUGUGUGUGCAAUUUGUGAAACAUAGAGAAACAGUUUAAGUGUGAGGAGGUGUUUUUGUAAGAUCUCUAUAUGUAUGUUACUUGUCUUGCUCCUAUUAACGCAAAGAUAUUGCAUAUAUGAUUCUAAGUAAACCUCAACAGGUUUUCAUAUUGCAUGCACUUAUUAGAUUUUUACAUUGUUAUUUUUACUAUGCAAGCCUCUAGUAUUUCCUAGAACUUAAACAAUGUUAUAUUGCAAUUUAAAAGUUAAAUUUACUUGAAGAAUAGGUAUUUAACUGGCUAUUCUUAUGUGAGUCUACAAGAACUUACAGAAAAAGGACCUUUAGAUAUCUUUAAGUAUUCUUUUAUUUCUGUUUUUCCAGACAACAUGACUAGUAAUUACUGUGUCAGAUGUAGUUUCUAAAUAGUCUGCACUUAAGAUGCCAUACUCAAAGUAAUAUAUUUGGUGCGAAAUUUUAACUUUCACAAUAUUUUUCUGUCCCUGUUUGAGUCCAGAAAUGUGAGCUAUGCAAAACUUAGAUAUUUACAGCUGAUAAUGUGUAGUUUCUGGCAUGGGUUCAGCCUAGGUCCUUAGUAACCAAAAGUUGUUACCAUCUGAUUAUAACAAAUUUCCAAAAUGAAAUGAGUCAGUCUUCUGAAAGCAGACAUGGUCUCAUAAAUAAAUAGAUAUGUAUAUACAAAUACUUAUGAAAUGUAUAUGCAAUAUAGUAUUUAUAAAUAAAUAUUUCACUAUAUACACACCAGCACAACUGAAACAAGUCGGCAUACUACUUACUAUUUUCCUACCCUUUUACUUCCCAUGAGUGUAGUGCAUCUUUUAGGUUAUAAUCUUAAAGUGGGUAUUCCAAAUAUUCUUGGCUUCCCAAUUGAAAUUAAUAGGAGUCUUGCCCUAAAUUCUUUCAUUUUAAUCAGUUAAACUUUCUUAGUAAACUAAUUUUCUGUGUUUAAUUAUAAGAUCAGAUUGUAUUAAUCCCAUAUUCUCCUGUUUCCUUGAUUACAGGCAUCCAUCAGUACUAGGACAUUUCAUUCUGGAACACUACAGAAACAGCCUCCCACACAAUAAAGCACGCUCCACAGGUGGCAGGGUGAAGAGCUUUUCCUUUGGCCCACACAAGAUGAGAGCUGAUUACCAGUGCUAAAGGAACACAGGACUGGUCCAACUUUUCACAUUCAAGUGUGACGUGAAUCACUUUAAUGGAGAAUGAUCCAGACGGCAUGCAUGUAGCAGGAAUAAAACUUCAUGUGCAAACUCUGCAGCAUGAGGUUAUGUUAACAACAUGUAUUUCAAGAAUUAUCCAAUGAUAAUAAUCUAAAUGCUGAUUCCAAAAUCCUGAAUAACCCAGAGAAGAUCUGACACAGGAAGACCACAGGCUACCUGGCUGAGGGAGAGAGGCAGUCUGCAAGAAGCACUAAGUGAUGGCAAAGAAAAAAUUUGGCAAAUAGUCAGGAAAGAUCUUACUUGCAAAAAACCCCAGUCCUUUGGAUCAUGACAGCCAGGUCAUGACUGAUACACAGGCAGCUGCAAAAAGCCAUCUUAACAGCAGUCUAACCAGCUAUGCAGACAGUGAUUUC